UACGUAGGGGGCAAGCGUUGUCCGGACUUAUUGGGCGUAAAGAGCGUGUAGGCGGCCUGGCAAGUCCGCUGUGAAAACUCGAGGCUUAACCUCGAGACGUCGGUGGAAACUGCCUGGCUAGAGUCCGGAAGAGGAGAGUGGAAUUCCUGGUGUAGCGGUGAAAUGCGCAGAUAUCAGGAAGAACACCCGUGGCUAAGGCGGCUCUCUAGUACGGUACUGACGCUGAGACGCGAAAGCGUGGGGAGCGAACAGG
rnacentral:rRNA from 1 species